ACUCCUACGGGAGGCAGCAGUGGGAAUAUUGGACAAUGGGGGCAACCCUGAUCCAGCAAUACCGCGUGUGUGAAGAAGGCCUGAGGGUUGUAAAGCACUUUCAGCGAGGAGGAAGUUAAUGUAGUUAAUAGGCUAUGUUUGAUUGACGUUACUCGCAGAAGAAGCACCGGCUAACUCUGUGCCAGCAGCCGCGGUAAUACAGAGGGUGCAAGCGUUAAUCGGAAUUACUGGGCGUAAAGCGUGCGUAGGCGGAUAUUUAAGUCAGAUGUGAAAGCCCCGGGGCUCAACCU
rnacentral:rRNA from 1 species